GAGAGAUGGCUGAGCGGUCGAAAGCGGCGGUCUUGAAAACCGUUAAGGGGGAAACUCCUUCCAGGGUUCGAAUCCCUGUCUCUCC
rnacentral:tRNA from 1 species